AUCGAACGCUGGCGGCAGGCCUAACACAUGCAAGUCGAACGAGUGGCGGACGGGCGAGCAAUGUCUGGGAAACUGCCCGAUGGAGGGGGAUAACUACUGGAAACGGUAGCUAAUACUGCACACCUUCGGAUGUGCCUAGGUGGGUUUAGCUAGUAGGUGGGGUAACGGCUCACCUAGGCGACGAUCCCUAGCGGGUCUGAGAGGAUGACCGGCCACACUGGAACUGAGACACGGUCCAGACUCCUACGGGAGGCAGCAGUGGGGAAUAUUGCACAAUGGGCGCAAGCCUGAUUCAGCCAUGCCGCGUGUAUGAAGAAGGCCUUCGGGUUGUAAAGUACUUUCAGCGAGGAGGCGUUACUCAAAGAGGAAGCACCGGCUAACUCCGUGCCAGCAGCCGCGGUAAUAG
rnacentral:rRNA from 1 species